rnacentral:rRNA from 1 species
AGAGUUUGAUCAUGGCUCAGGACGAACGCUGGCGGCGUGCUUAACACAUGCAAGUCGAACGAUGAACCACUUCGGUGGGGAUUAGUGGCGAACGGGUGAGUAACACGUGGGCAAUCUGCCCUGCACUCUGGGACAAGCCCUGGAAACGGGGUCUAAUACCGGAUACUGAUCGCCUUGGGCAUCCUUGGUGAUCGAAAGCUCCGGCGGUGCAGGAUGAGCCCGCGGCCUAUCAGCUUGUUGGUGAGGUAAUGGCUCACCAAGGCGACGACGGGUAGCCGGCCUGAGAGGGCGACCGGCCACACUGGGACUGAGACACGGCCCAGACUCCUACGGGAGGCAGCAGUGGGGAAUAUUGCACAAUGGGCGAAAGCCUGAUGCAGCGACGCCGCGUGAGGGAUGACGGCCUUCGGGUUGUAAACCUCUUUCAGCAGGGAAGAAGCGAAAGUGACGGUACCUGCAGAAGAAGCGCCGGCUAACUACGUGCCAGCAGCCGCGGUAAUACGUAGGGCGCGAGCGUUGUCCGGAAUUAUUGGGCGUAAAGAGCUCGUAGGCGGCUUGUCGCGUCGGUUGUGAAAGCCCGGGGCUUAACCCCGGGUCUGCAGUCGAUACGGGCAGGCUAGAGUUCGGUAGGGGAGAUCGGAAUUCCUGGUGUAGCGGUGAAAUGCGCAGAUAUCAGGAGGAACACCGGUGGCGGAGGCGGAUCUCUGGGCCGAUACUGACGCUGAGGAGCGAAAGCGUGGGGAGCGAACAGGAUUAGAUACCCUGGUAGUCCACGCCGUAAACGGUGGGCACUAGGUGUGGGCGACAUUCCACGUCGUCCGUGCCGCAGCUAACGCAUUAAGUGCCCCGCCUGGAGAGUACGGCCGCAAGGCUAAAACUCAAAGGAAUUGACGG